GCAUAUCAAUAAGCGGAGGAAAAGAAACUAACAAGGAUUCCCCUAGUAACGGCGAGCGAAGCGGGAAGAGCUCAAAUUUGAAAGCUGGCACCUUCGGUGUCCGCGUUGUAAUCUCGAGACGUGUUUUCCGUGUGGCGCUAUGGACAAGUCCCUUGGAACAGGGCAUCGUAGAGGGUGAAAAUCCCGUACUUGCCAUGGAUGUACCAUGCUUUGUGAUACACGCUCUAAGAGUCGAGUUGUUUGGGAUUGCAGCUCAAAAUGGGUGGUAGACUCCAUCUAAAGCUAAAUAUCGGGGAGAGACCGAUAGCGAACAAGUACCGUGAGGGAAAGAUGAAAAGCACUUUGGAAAGAGAGUUAAAAGUACGUGAAAUUGUCGAAAGGGAAGCGCUUGAAGUCAGCCAUGCUGCUUGAGACUCAGCCUUGCUUUUGCUUGGUGUAUUUCUCGGUAGCAAGCCAGCAUUGGUUUGAGUCGUCGGAGAAGGGUACGAGAAAUGUGGCAUCCUCGGAUGUGUUAUAGACUUGUACUGGAUACGACGAUUUGGAUCAAGGAACGCAGUGUGCCUCUGGCGGGUCUUCGGACACCUUCACACUUAGGAUGCUGGCGUAAUGGCUUUAAGCGGCCCGUCUUGAAACACGGACC
rnacentral:sRNA from 1 species